rnacentral:rRNA from 1 species
UACGAAGGGUGCAAGCGUUACUCGGAAUUACUGGCGUAAAGGGUGCGUAGGUGGUCGUUUUAAGUCCGUUGUGAAAUCCCUGGGCUCAACCUGGGAAUGGCAGUGGAUACUGGACGGCUAGAAUGCGGUAGAGGGUCGUGGAAUUCCCAGUGUAGAGGUGAAAUUCGUAGAUAUUGGGAAGAACACCGGUGGCGAAGGCGGCGACCUGGUCCGAUACUGACGCUGAGGCGCGAAAGCGUGGGGAGCAAACAGG